GAUGAACGCUGGCGGCGUGCCUAAUACAUGCCAGUCGAGCGAACAGACGAGGAGCUUGCUCCUCUGACGUUAGCGGCGGACGGGUGAGUAACACGUGGAUAACCUACCUAUAAGACUGGGAUAACUUCGGGAAACCGGAGCUAAUACCGGAUAAUAUAUUGAACCGCAUGGUUCAAUAGUGAAAGACGGUUUUGCUGUCACUUAUAGAUGGAUCCGCGCCGCAUUAGCUAGUUGGUAAGGUAACGGCUUACCAAGGCAACGAUGCGUAGCCGACCUGAGAGGGUGAUCGGCCACACUGGAACUGAGACACGGUCCAGACUCCUACGGGAGGCAGCAGUAGGGAAUCUUCUGCAAUGGGCGAAAGCCUGACGGAGCAACGCCGCGUGAGUGAUGAAGGUCUUCGGAUCGUAAAACUCUGUUAUUAGGGAAGAACAAAUGUGUAAGUAACUAUGCACGUCUUGACGGUACCUAAUCAGAAAGCCACGGCUAACUACGUG
rnacentral:rRNA from 1 species